rnacentral:rRNA from 1 species
AGAGUUUGAUCAUGGCUCAGAACGAACGCUGGCGGCAUGCCUAACACAUGCAAGUCGCACGCUCACUUGGGUUUCGGCCCUUGUGGGAGUGGCGCACGGGUGAGUAGCGCGUGGGAACCUGCCCUGUUGUGGGGGAUAACCGAGGGAAACUUCGGCUAAUACCGCAUAAGCCGGCUGUCUUGCGAGAGAUGGCCGGGAAAGAUUUAUCGCGACAGGAGGGGCCCGCGUCCGAUUAGCUGGUUGGUGGGGUAACGGCCUACCAAGGCUGCGAUCGGUAGCUGGUCUGAGAGGAUGAUCAGCCACACUGGGACUGAGACACGGCCCAGACUCCUACGGGAGGCAGCAGUGGGGAAUAUUGGACAAUGGGCGCAAGCCUGAUCCAGCAAUGCCGCGUGAGUGAUGAAGGCCUUAGGGUUGUAAAGCUCUUUCGCCCGCGACGAUGAUGACGGUAGCGGGAGAAGAAGCCCCGGCUAACUUCGUGCCAGCAGCCGCGGUAAUACGAAGGGGGCGAGCGUUGUUCGGAAUCACUGGGCGUAAAGGGCGCGUAGGCGGCCCUUCUUGUCGCGUGUGAAAGCCCCGGGCUCAACCUGGGAACGGCGCGCGAGACGGGAGGGCUGGAGUUCGGGAGAGGAGCGUGGAAUUCCCAGUGUAGAGGUGAAAUUCGUAGAUAUUGGGAAGAACACCGGUGGCGAAGGCGGCGCUCUGGACCGAGACUGACGCUGAGGCGCGAAAGCGUGGGGAGCAAACAGGAUUAGAUACCCUAGUAGUCC